rnacentral:lncRNA from 1 species
UUUGGAAUUUUAUUACUGAAAGAAAGACACAACCGGUGUCACCACGAACACAACAACAAGUCAGUUCGAGCUUGAAGAAGUAACAAGAGGAGGAGGAGCAGGAAGAUCACAACAACAAAAUGCCCCAAAGAAAGCACCACAAUCGCCUGAUGGAUGGCCUUCUUUUAUACAUGUACUGUUACAAUGAUGAGGGUCGAUGCAGAUUCCUUUGAAAGUGGCGCUCGGAUGAUCGCAAUGAAAAAUUAUCUUUUUGAUUGGAAAUUGAUGAUACCCAUCUGCAAACAUGGAAGAUGUGAAGAUGAAAAAGAUGAUGAGGACUAUUGUUGGGCUCAUUCCAAUUUCUGCCAUCGAUGAUGAUCG